UUCAGCACAGAGGAAGGAGUUUUCUUGAUUACAUUACGCGCGGCGUGGGAGUGUAUCACGCGCUGCGUGAAGCCUGGAGAAAGAAUGACUCUCUGACUAGUGAUUACGCGCCGCGUGAUGGUGAUCACGCGCGGCGUGUCCCUUUUGAAAGAAGUUCUUGACCGUUACAGUUUGUACUACGCGCGGCGUCGCAGGGGUCACGCGCGGCGUG
rnacentral:lncRNA from 1 species